rnacentral:tRNA from 1 species
AGUUCCGUAGUGAAAUUCAUGUUGAGUUGCAAGCUCAUUGAUGUGUACUAAGAGUGCGCCGGAACUUGUUU